UAGAUCUCAAAUCAGGUAGGAC
rnacentral:rRNA from 1 species